rnacentral:rRNA from 1 species
GAUGAACGCUGGCGGCGUGCCUAACACAUGCAAGUCGAGCGAUCUUCUUCGGAAGAGAGCGGCGGACGGGUGAGUAACGCGUGGGUAACCUGCCUCAUACACAUGGAUAACAUACCGAAAGGUAUGCUAAUACAAGAUGAUAUAAGAGAUUCGCAUGAAUUUCUUAUCAAAGCUUUUGCGGUAUGAGAUGGACCCGCGUCUGAUUAGCUAGUUGGUAAGGUAAUGGCUUACCAAGGCGACGAUCAGUAGCCGACCUGAGAGGGUGAUCGGCCACAUUGGACCGGAGACACGGUCCAAACUCCUACGGGAGGCAGCAGUGGGGAAUAUUGCACAAUGGGCGAAAGCCUGAUGCAGCAACGCCGCGUGAGCGAUGAAGGCCUUCGGGUCGUAAAGCUCUGUCCUCAAGGAAGAUAAUGACGGUACUUGAGGAGGAAGCCCCGGCUAACUACGUGCCAGCAGCCGCCGUAA